CCGCAAAUGCUUUAAAAAUGAAAAAAGAAAAUUGAAAAAGCAAUCUCGAUUCUCGGUCACGAGAACCAAUCGACUCGCAGUCGUCGAUUCUCUCUUCCCAUCUUCCUUGCUUCCCCCCCCAUCUCGAACCUUCAUCGCUCUUCCUCAAUCGUUGAUUGGUUGCCGGGCCCCUUGCUCACCCUUCGGCAAACAAGUUGCACUAGCUUCGCAGCUAAACUCUCUGGUACUCUAGCUGCCCCACUCCUCCCCAUUCACUGUCAACCUCACCAGUGCUCCGAGUCUAGUCGGAGCCGCCCCUGCGUGCCCAGCUCUCCCAGUUAGCAGGGUAACGCCACCGCCCUUCUUCCUCCGCCUGCGUCGCCUAAUCAGUACUUUUUGCUUUGAAUUCAAAUAAAGUCGUUCAGGUUGAAUUAUUUGCACCGCAGUGUGGCCACUGCCAAGCUCUAACUCAGACAUGGGAAACGGCAGCAACUGUUUUGAAAGGGAUUGCUACCGUGGCAGCCUUAGAUGCUUAUGCACACCGGUCCCUUAUAGAUGUUUGUUGAGGAAGCAUCAAGUACUUGCCAUCUUGUAAUACUUAAGAUUUCGUUUGCUAAGAUAUAAUCAACUCUGUUUUACUCAUGUUAAUAUUAAAUUUAUAUAGAUUUAUAAGCAUAGAAAUUUAACUUUUUGUUAUUAGAAUGGUGGAAUAUUAAAAUUAUUAUGUAUUUGUUGAAUAUGCUAUAUUGAAUUUGUUAUGGAUAUUUUGAGGGUACAGAUCAA